rnacentral:misc_RNA from 1 species
AAAUUUUCAAUCCAGACCAUUAUAUUGUUCAAAAAUCAUCAAAAUUACGAGAAAAAAGAAAAACCACUAUCCACCAAUAUUGUUUAGAUUAUUACAACAGAAUUUCAAAACUAAUGCAUUAUUCCAAUUGAACACUGUCAAUCCCAGACGAGUACACUACCCAGAUACUUGAUUCUGUUCACGUCACCAAAAGGUAUGAAUACAGUAAUCCAUUAGUGAUUGGAUCACCAAAGGAACUAAUAAUAACAGCGCCA